GACGAACGCUGGCGGCGUGCUUAACACAUGCAAGUCGAACGACGUGGCGAACGGGUGAGUAACGCGUAAUCCACCUGCCCUUCAGAGGGGGACAACAGUUGUAAACGACUGCUAAUACCCCAUACUGAAGGAGUGGAUUGCGUCGGAGUAGAUAGUGGGCGGGGUAACGGACCACCAAGGCGAUGAUCAGUAGCCGGAGUGGGAGGAUGAACGGCGACAUUGGGACUGAGACACGGCCCAGACUACUACGGGAGGGAGCAGUGGGGAAGCGUCAGAAAUGGACGAAAGUCUGACGGAGCAACGCCGCGUGAGUGAUGACGGCCUUCGGGUUGUAAAGCUCUGUUAAUCGGGACGCGGUACCGGAAUAGAAAGCCACGGCUAACUACGUGCCAGCCGCCGCGGUAAUUC
rnacentral:rRNA from 1 species